AAUUAUUCAAUAAUAAAUUAAGGCCAAAUCCAAGUUCUAGAAUUUUCUCUAGAAAUUUCAUAUCUCCACCUCCUUAAAAGGUUCUAAAAAUUUUCUAGAAUCAUUUUCCACCUCGUUAAACAUAAAAAUCUAGAUACUUUUGUUUUGCCGUCUAGAUUUAUUAUUUAUAACUAAUUAUGAGAACUGUUACAUAGACGAUUCUACCACAGACAAUUCCUUCCGACUCUUAUUAGAUCCACGACGGACGACACAUUCUUCUCCUUCUCCUUCUCCAUGCGCUUGAUGGACACCUUCAAUAUCUUCUUUGCGUAGAAUCUUGGCGAACGGCUAUAAUUGUACUUCGUUGUAGAUCUCAUGCACACUUGCCUCCAUUAAUCUGCAAAUCUGCUAAUAAAUCGCAAUAGCUGGGACUCUAAUUCAGACCUCUUGAUGUAGAAGCAUUAAUGAACCUUUGGUCAACCAUUGAGCCAAGGGGGUUUCAACAAAUCUAGAUACUCUUAUAGAAUAAUUUAGAUAAUUAGAAUAAUGUAAUCUAGAUAUUAUGUAAGAACCCUCUAGACUUAGGAUUAAAAUAUUUUAGAUAUUUUGUAGUUUGGAGGCUAUAAAUACAUCCUCCCCCUCUUAAAUGUUGUAAAAUUGUCUUCAAGUUUAAAAGCAAAGUAAUAAAUGUUCUAUUUCCUAAAACUCUCUCUCAAAACACUUUAACACUUUCUUCAUUACCUCUAAAAGAAUUUUACUCUAAACAAU
rnacentral:sRNA from 1 species